CAUCCUAGUCUUCAUGUUCUCUGCUUCCCUUCCUGUCAGUUCAGUCUGUGUGGUGUUAGGUUCGGUUACUCUGUAAUCUGGUUUGCUUUAUGGGUUCCUUGUUUCUUCUCAGGUAAUGUUUCUCAUGUUCCCUCUAGUUCCUCGGUUCUUGAUUAUUCUUUACUCUCAUGCUUCAUUUGGUUAUAUCUUCGUUUUGGUAUCUUUUAUUAGUCCUUCGUCAUAUUUUAAACUAUGUAUUGUUUUCACCUGUUCCCUCUGCCUCCCUGCCUCCUUGUCUCACAUGUUCUUAAUUCCUUUGAUUACCUGCCAUUGUUCUCCCUUAGUAUAUUAGUUGGUUUUGUGUCAUUGUUCUUUGCUGGUUCCUCCCGAUCACGUUACCUGAUUAUGCUCAGUGUUUGCUACGUUCCUGCAGUACAACUCAGUAAGUUUUGAUUGUACUCAUGCCUUACACCUGCAGGUCGCAGGGGGCUAAUGCCAAUCACCAGCAGCCAGGACAACAACUACACAAGAACACGCUUACAGAGAUUUUGUUAAGUAACCAUCUAACCUCACAUUCUUGCUUUUGGACUGUUGGAGGAAGCCAGAGUACCCAAAAAAUAACAGACGCAUGCACAGGGAGAACAUGCUGAUUUCACGUAGAAAAACCCCUGGAGAAGAAUUCAAACCCCAGCAACAGUGCCACCAACUGUGCCACCAUGCAGCCCAUUCUAAUCAUCACUGUUAACCUAUUAAGGUAACAGUUUAAGUGGCAGUUUUAGCUCUGCAGACAAACAGCUGUACAUCUGGACUGGUUGGGACAUCUCAGCCGAGCAGAGGGGAAAUCAAGGGCCAACUGCUCGAUGUGCAAAUGAACAAAGCACUGAAAAGGACAGCGCCCAACAAGCACCCAUCAAAGGUUCAUUGCCUUUGCUGCCUUUUCGCAUGUGUUUGAACAGAAACCCUACGUUGGAAAGUUUUGUUGCAGACACAUGAAGAUUUUGGGUAAAUUUUAUCCACCUUGAGGAAACCCCCAGUAACUGAGAAAAGUAGCCGAAGAGCAUAAUACUGCCACUACCAUGUUUCACUGUGGGUAUGGGAUUCUUUUUGGGGGUGUGUUGUUUAAAUGCCAAACAUACCUUUUAGUAUUGUGGCCCAAUACUUCCAGUUUGAUUUCUUUAGACAAUAACACAUUCUUCUACUAGGCUUUGCAGGUUUUAGCCAGGCAUGGAAGUUUUCUUUGGAAGAAAAUGCUUCUCUUUUUCAACCCUGCUUCUUAGUUUAACCAAAUUGAGAAUAAAUAUGUUUGUCACACAAAGAACAUAACCAGUACUACAUGGAGCAUCUGGCACCUGCCUCAAUGCUGCUGAUGGCCUCUUGGGUUCUUGACUGUUUUUUUUGUGCAUGUUUUCUUAUCAAUGGUGUGAACUGUUUUGAUUUUCUAUCAGGUUUGAUUUUAUACAGGAUAAAUAUUAAAGCUGGAAAUGUUUGUAAAUGAUUUAUCGUGGUCUAAAACUUUAUGUCCUAAAAACCUGGAAUUUCAGCAGGGUUGUGGAACGUUUUUAGAGCCACUUAUAUUGUGUAUCUUUUUACUGCUUGGAAAUUAGACAGACACAUAAGUUAAACACAAAUCAAGUCUUAAAUCACAUUUACAGUGCCUUGUAAAAUUAUUCAAAAACCUUAACCCGUCCACUUUCAUUAUCUGCCCAUGUUUGGUUUAGAGUUUUUGUUCUGUUUUCUUUCUCUGCACUGCCAUGUUCUUCAUUUGCUUUAUUUCAUUUCAGGUUUAUUAGAUUACUUUCCUAGAUCCUAUGUUUUAUGUUUUAGUUUGGAUUUCUCCAUAGAUCUGGUUUCUCCCUGUUUAUGUAACUUUUGCAGUCUCAUUGUUUACUUAUUUCAGUUCACUUAGAUGUCACCGCCCUACACUCCCUGCUCAUUUAUGUUAAUUAGUCACUCUCCCUCAGUUACCCUCUACCUCUCUAUUCCACCAGCUGUCCCUGAUUCCCUCUGAUUACCUCCCUUGGUUCAUUGGUCCAUACUCCUCGCUCUCUGUACCCUGUCUACUCACUGCUCUAUGUCCUGAGACCUGCCUGUAAUUUUACGUUUUCUGUCGACGUUUUGUAAGUUUCCCUGUUUUCAUUAAUAAACCCAUUUAUCUGCU